AAGUUUAAUUUACCGCGUAUCUUGUGUUGAAAGCAAUGGUUGAAAGUGAUAAUUGAUAAAAGUUCUAUAAGUAUUACCUACUUACAUUGGAUUUCAGUUGGCUUCAUGUUUGUGUUGUAAUAAGUAAUUUUAAGGUUUCAUGUUCAAAGUUGUUAGUUCCAUAUUAUAUUUAAUUUGAAGAAUUUUGAAUUUCAAGCGUAGAGUGAACAGGUAGCUAUAGUAUUAGCACUGGUGGGCAUUUCAAUAGCAAACCCCACUCCCCUGGGAAUGGGCUUCUCUACAUUAGUGAAGGGUAACAUAAAGAGAGCGCCCCGCUAUGGGCGGCUGCGUCACCGAGCGUGAUCCUAGCCUAUACGCAAAGAGCCUCCGUUUACAAUGUUCACAAAUACAAUUGUAGGUACAUUUAUAUGUUAUUCGACGUUUGCUAUUGAUAUUAUGAAUUAAAUGUUUUAUGGACUG